rnacentral:lncRNA from 1 species
GAAUUGGAAGGAAAUAAACUAUUCUAUGAGUAAUAAACGGUUGGUGGAAAUACGAUUGAGACGAACACUAGAGCAUCGGGGAUUCACUUCGGAUAAAUGAGUAGAAAUUGCACUUGAUCUUUAAUUUAACUCAUAUGAAAAUCAACUAAGGAGUUAUCUCAUAUGGAAGAUAAAACAUUAAUCACAAAUAUACUAAAAGAUAGAUCUUGAUAAUUGUUUGAGAGAAUAUGUCAAAAUAAGUUGUUGGUAUGUAGAGAUUAUCUAAGCAUUUAUUGUGCCAAAAUUGUCAACAAUAAAUCAAAGUCUUUAACAAACCAAAACCAUUUGUAGAACAUAUACUUCAACCAAGUAAGAAGAUGAACAUUGAAGAACAAAAUGAAAGAUCAAAGACAAUACUAAACAUUCAUCAAAGUUUCAC